GGGGCGGGGGCGGCCAAUCUCGCCUACCGACCCCACCGCGGCCCCGGAGUCACAGGCGCGCCUCCACGUCGCUGCCUCCGGGGACUCUCCCAGGAGAGACCGGCGCGCUCCCGGCCCGGAGGAAAUCGCGGUGGGAACAAACAGACUUAUAAAUGGAGGAGCUUUGGUGCCUACCCCACAGGUGGAUGUGAGGAUUAAAUGAGAUCACCUAUAAGGAAGAUCGUAUCCCUGGACACAAGGAGAGUGAGGAUGGGAUGGUCGAUGGGAAAGUGUCCGCCCCCCUCAAGAUAUGUCGACAGCCCAAUCCCUGGAACCUGUGAGUGAGACCUUGUUUGGAGAAAGGUCUUUGCAGAUGUGAUUCAGUUGGGGAUCCUGAGAUGAGGCGAUCAUCCUGGAUCAUCCAGGCGGGCCCUAAGCACCAUCACAGGUGUCCUUACAGGAGGGACGCAGCUGGAGAUGAGGCAGAUGCACAGAGGAGACGUGACGCGAAGAUGGAGGGAUGCAGCCACCAGCCAAGGAGCGCGGAGAAGUGCCAGCAGCUACCAGAAGCUAGAAGAGGAAAGGAAGGCUUCUCCCCAAGAGCCCGGGGAGGGAGUGCAGCCCUGCCAGCACCUUGAUCUCAGACUUCUGGCCUCCAGAACCGUGAGAGAAUAAAUUUUGCUUAUUUUAAGCCAUCCAGUUUGUGGCAAUUUGUUACAGCAGUCCUAGGAAACGGAUAUAACUGACUAUGCCUCAAACCCCCACUCCAGGAAAUGGAUAAGAUUGCCGUUUACAUCGCAGUGCGUGGGUCUUCACUGCUCUGCUGCGGGGUGCCCGGGGUGCCCGUCUGCUGGGACAAGGCUCGUCUGGGAGCCCUAGCAAACAGAGCCUGCAGCAACGCUUGUAUGCUAAUACUUUUUUGGGGUGGGGAGCGGUAGUGCAAUCC